rnacentral:piRNA from 1 species
AGUCUGCAAUACAAUACCAAA